CCUACGGGGGGCUGCAGUGGGGAAUAUUGGACAAUGGGGGCAACCCUGAUCCAGCCAUGCCGCGUGUGUGAAGAAGGCCCUCGGGUUGUAAAGCACUUUCAGUGAGGAAGAACGCCUGGUGGUUAAUACCCAUCAGGAAAGACAUCACUCACAGAAGAAGCACCGGCUAACUCCGUGCCAGCAGCCGCGGUAAUACGGAGGGUGCGAGCGUUAAUCGGAAUUACUGGGCGUAAAGCGCGCGUAGGUGGCUUGAUAAGCCGGUUGUGAAAGCCCCGGGCUCAACCUGGGAACGGCAUCCGGAACUGUCAAGCUAGAGUGCAGGAGAGGAAGGUAGAAUUCCCGGUGUAGCGGUGAAAUGCGUAGAGAUCGGGAGGAACACCAGUGGCGAAGGCGGCCUUCUGGACUGACACUGACACUGAGGUGCGAAAGCGUGGGUAGCAAACAGGAUUAGAUACCCCUGUAGUC
rnacentral:rRNA from 1 species